GACAGAGGGUGCAAACGUUGUCCGGAUUUAUUGGGCGUAAAGAGCGUGUAGGCGGCCAUACAGGUCAGCUGUGAAAACUCGAGGCUCAACCUCGAGACGUCGGUUGAAACCGUAUGGCUAGAGUCCGGAAGAGGAGAGUGGAAUUCCCGGUGUAGCGGUGAAAUGCGCAGAUAUCGGGAAGAACACCCGUGGCGAAGGCGGCUCUCUGGGACGGUACUGACGCUGAGACGCGAAAGCGUGGGGAGCGAACAGG
rnacentral:rRNA from 1 species